UACGUAGGUGGCGAGCGUUGUCCGGAUUUACUGGGCGUAAAGGGAGCGUAGGCGGACUUUUAAGUGAGAUGUGAAAUACUCGAGCUCAACUUGAGUGCUGCAUUUCAAACUGGAAGUCUAGAGUGCAGGAGAGGAGAAUGGAAUUCCUAGUGUAGCGGUGAAAUGCGUAGAGAUUAGGAAGAACACCAGUGGCGAAGGCGAUUCUCUGGACUGUAACUGACGCUGAGGCUCGAGAGCGUGGGGAGCAAACAGG
rnacentral:rRNA from 1 species